UAUGUUUUAAAUCCACUUCUGUUUAAAACACAGAUAUCAUCCAGGAGAAAAUCUGAGGGCAAAAAAAAAAAGGUGGGGGGAAGGAUUUUGGUUGCGCCUUAUUAGACUCAAAGUACUAAGUUAUUCUCUGGCGUAUGUAGCAAAAACACUAGGUGGGUGUUGUUUUUUGAGUUCAUAGUGAGGGGAGAAAUGGGGUCAUCACUCCUGCGGAGAGAAAGGUAAUCUCUGAUUUCAGUCUUUCAUUGGCCUGCGGCAGCCGGUGGGGUCUUCCGAAACAAAUUCUUUUUCUUCGUUACUCAGUAUAUUCCCCAUUUGGGCUUGAAGUGGGAAACCCGAAAGUUGAAAUGCUGUGACCACCUCUACACUGUCACAUGCCCUUGCUCUCCUCUGGUGAGGAAGUAGGGGAGACGUGGAAGAGGUGGCCUCAUCACUCACUUUGUUUGGAAGUGAGAAGCGGCGAGGGGAGGAUUGGAGGAAGAUGCGGGCGCUUGGGGCACCGCCGGCCUGCGACGCCCUGGCCAUUCCUCUUCCCUGGCACUCACAGGCAGCUUUGCGAGGCAGGAGUACGUGAGGGGGAAGAUCCUAUUAGCAGAGGAGCUGCAGGAACCGAAGAGAUGCCGAAGGGAGCCAGGUGACUGACAGGUAGAUGAAAUCCAACAUCCUUUCCGCUCAAAGUUUUAAGAAGAGAAGUGGCCACGAGUAAGCUUGAGUUCUGUCCCCUUCCUGAUACUUGCUCCUCCUCAGACCCAGGUGAGGACGAUCUACUACACGUAAGCAAGCAGAUGUGGGGAAAAGAGCAAAACCCACUGAGCUGUGAGAUCCCUAAGACCCUCCCCCCCACCCCCAGGCCUUGGAUGUUGGGGGUUGACAGCGGCUUCCUGUGCACUGUACCAUGGAGACCACAGGUGACGGAGGCAGUGGCCCAGCUUAUGCUCUGGGCGUGCAGAGAAGGGAAGCUCCGCCUCCUCUGUUCGCAUCCUCCUUGUUGGAUGCUGGGGUAGCCUCUGCCCCUCUUACAGGACAACUCUAGGUCUCCGUGUGAUCCUGGCCCAGCCUGAAGCCUGAGGCUUCUGAACACAACCAUCCUAGUGCUGGCCUUCCUUGCAUGACGCCCAGGAAUCCCUAGUGGGAAAAGCCAUGCCUCACCACUGUCAACCUAAUGAUAGACCAAGACCCCUCCUCCCUCCACCUGCCCUCCUAAUAAUCUUAAGAUUUAGGGGAAACUAAAAUAGACCUUCCUCUAGACCGACACCGCCGUUUCACAUACAAAUGUAGCUCUCUUUCACCCUGGAAAAAGACAGCCUUUUCGACUCCUCUGCACCUCCUGGAUGGUCCAGCAGAUUUGCACGAGACCCAGAGUGACACUGACGUGCUUUAACUGAUGAGCGACGUCAAGUCUGUUUGUCUCUGCCGUUAGAGACUGAUUUGACCCGCUACCUGUAGGAGCUCUAGUUUCUGAAAAUGUGGCAAGGCUUUGUAGGGGUCGACCCCAACCAAUGCUUUCCCACUUCACAAUUUGAGUAAUGAGCUGGAUACUCCUCACGUUUUACUUUUGGUUCUUUGUCAAAUAAGGUAGUAACAGAGUCCCUAACUGUAACAUAGGGAGCAGUCGCUACAUGUGAACUUCGUGGCUCUAAAAUCUUGAGAUACCGCUUCCUUACCUCCUUCCUGGUCAAUGAGUGUUUAGAUUUUUAAUGACAUUUCAAAGUCAAUCUCCAAACACUUUAGAGGUCAAUCCUAGCAGAGACGAACUUUAAACUGGUGGGAGGAGGGUGCAGAGCAAUCCCUCUGGGAGUCAGAAUGAGAUACUUGUGUGUCUGGACUGGUAGCAGGGUUUUAUGUUACCAGAGUGAUCUCCAUGGUAACAGAUCAACAUGGUGCCAGUGACAGCUUUACACUCCAGGCUUUAGGUUCCCAUGAGAAAGUGGAUUCUUAACAACACAUAGGGGAGCAGAAAUGAAGGAAUAUGGAUGUACGCUCCCCUUUCUUGUAAAGUUCUGGUCAUGAAGUUUCUGUUCAUACCACCAAUGACACGUCCUGUUUAGCCCCCUGGGUUCCUCUGUCAACCAAGACUCUUCAGAGGAUGUGCAAUGUGCUCUUGAAUUUCAACUGAACUCAUACCAGGUUUAAAUAGGCUUUGGUAGCAAAGAACUGUAUUGGAGUGGAACAAGAAUGAGACUUGGAGUCAGGAAACCUGGCAUUCAGACCCAGCUUUUGUACUGUCUUGAAGGUCCUUACUUUCCACAUUCUUAGAUUCUCACCAGUUAUGAUAGUCAAUCAUCCAGUUAUAUGGAAAGCCCCUGGUGUGAUUCAUUGGAGGUAAAAAUGGUAGCCAGUUAAAUAGAGGACAGUCUGCCAUCCCCAUCCCCAUCAAAGGUAUGAUCCUGUUGUGAUCGUGUGGAUGCAAACGUUCAGACACCUAAAAAGUAGAAGUACUUCUGAAUAUUCCAAGAGUUACAUCCAAUGGUUCCCAAGCCCAGCUGCACCGCAGAUUCACUUGAUGAUCUUUUAAAAAAGAUUACACUUCCCACCUCAGACCCCCUUCAUCAGAGUCUUCAGGGCUGGGUUCCAAGUACCUAACAAAACACAGCUCCAAUUUUCUGGGGAAGAGAUAAGCGAGACAUUUCGAGAACCACUCUGAGGAGGGUGUUGUCACAUCACUGAUGGAAAUUAUGUGGAUGAUGGUUGAAGAAGACUGCAAAGGAGCCAGCUCUGGGAGCUGAGACUAAAGGCAAAGUAGAUAUACACAGCAAAUAAAUAAAUAAGUAUACACACAAGCAUACCCAGAGCUGGAAACCAAGUCAUUAUACCUGGCCGUCGUUCUGUACAGAACAUUUAGGCAGUAAAGUCACCCUCUUUCUUUACGCUGUUUUGCUCUUUUCUUUAGAUCAGAUUUUACCUGGAUAGAAGAAUUAUCAAAAGAGGUUCAGGUGGAUGGAUGUGCAUUUCUUCCUGCUCUCCCAGUGGUAGACGUUUGUGAAGCAUUGGCCAGAGUCAGCUAAGCAUUUACUUUAGACGAGAUCUGCACUCCUAAAGGGGACUCAUGCAGUCUUCAUAUGGAUUACAUUUAAAUUAAUCCUUGUUCAGACUCAGGUCUCAUCUGCUAGUAGGGUUCAAUUUUCAUUCAUCUACUGUAAAACCAAACAACCCUUAUUUGUGGCUAAGGGAGAGAGGAAAGAGAGGAAAUAAAAAAAGCAUUACAUUUUAUUUCCAUGUAAGUGACUCAGAAGGCUCUAAAUGGUUACUUUAUUUGAGAAUUAAUAGCAACCCUUUGUUUAACUGAAACAGUUGGUGUUAGAAGAAUAAUUUAUAGAAUAAUAGAAUUAUAGAUUAUAUAACUAUAUAAUAAUUCAUAGAAAUCGCAGUUAGGGGCUGGGGAGGAGGGGUGGGUGACAAAAAAAAAUACCAUAUCGCAGAGUGACCAGAUUCAUAUCCACUAAUGUUUUACAUUAUCCAAAUUUUAAUGCUUGAUUUUAAGGAAUAUUCCCUUAUCAUUUAUAAAACAUUUAUCUUGAGAUUCUCUCCAUACUUGGUGUUGGAACAAUGGAGAAUGGGCUUUCCGUUGGGAAAAUAACAAUAGCUAGCCCUUACUGCAUGCUAACUGCGUGCCAGGCACUGUCCUAAGCACUUUUCCAUCUGCUAGCUAAUUUAAUCCUCAUCAGGGCCCUGGAGAAGGUUCUGUUAAGAUAAACGAAGUGAGGGGCGCCUGGGUGGCUCAGUCGGUUAAGUGUCUGACUUCGGCUCGGGUCAUGAUCUCGAGGUUCAUGGGCUUGCGCCCCCGUGGGGCUCUGUGCUGACAGCUCGGAGCCGGGCGCCUGCUUGGGAUUCUGUAUCUCCGUCUCUCUCUGCCCCUUCCCCGCUUGUGCUUUGUCUCUCUCUCUCUCGAAAAUAAAUAAACGUUAAAAAAAAUUAAAAGCAAAAAAAAAAAAAAAGAUAAAUGAAGCGAACGCAUGAGAGGCUUACUUGCUGGUAAGUGAGUGGUGUAGCCCUCCUAUUUGCCUAGCUGCUUUGCUCGUACAGCUUUGGGUUGCUCACCACAGGUGCCUGGCCCAGAGGACGUUAUGUUCUGGACUGGGCUGGCCAGGGCUGUAGAAGGUGUUUUAGACAUAAGCCAAAGGAAGCUAAUACAGGCCUCCUCUUCCUUCCACAUGCUGUCUCAAUUCCAGACCAACAGUAACUCUCUUAAGGGACUAUUAGGUGAGGCGAGGCUCCGAGAACUCCGGUAAAUUACUCAAGCUCACACAAAUGGACAGUGCCAGUCAGAAUUCAAUCCAAAUUAGAUUCCAAAGCCAGUGGAAUACCCCCUUCUUCUCUUAAUAUUACCUUUUGCUCUAUGUCGCCUCUCAGGAGGUGGGAAAUAAAGCCAGGGAUGAGUGGGUACCUCUACUCACAGUUACUUUGUGUAGCACUGUGUGACCCUUCGGUCUGUUUUCCAGGCAUAAGCCUGGCUGAAUGGCAAAUAAAGCCCAGGCAGAACGGCAGCCUUCCCCAUUUAUGCCUGGAAGAUAUAACGCUCUUUUUGCAUUGGCACCAGAGAACUGUGCCCACCAGCUCUGAUUCUUUUCUUCUCCCUUCACUCCCCCCCCCCCACAACUUCAUCAAGAAGAUAUGAAUGCUGAGAUCAUCUCAGAGAAAUCUAGAAUAAAUACCAUGAGAAAAUGGUCCCCCUGGAAGGCAUCUUGUUCUCCUGCUGUUUGUAAUUGUGAAGAGCUCAGCAACUGGGCAGCUGGAUGGGUAUAAAUAUAGCCCAGAGCACUGACGCCCGCUGAAUCCUGCUUUCUUAGAAGCACAAUGGGAACCCACGGAAAUCAGGGAAAGAGCAGUAAAGCCCAGUCAAUCAAUCAGCCUCCCUCCCUCCCCUCUCCCUUUCUCACUCCCUCUCUCCAUCCUUAACCUCAGUGUGGGUGUGAGGAUAGAAGCAGCUUUUAAGAGUGCACUUAAAAUAGUUCUUGGAACUGGACGCUGGCUAAACUCAAAGACAGGGAAGAUGCUACCUCCCAAACCGGCCCCUGUCUGACCUGUAAGCCCAGGACUAGUUUGACCAUUCUGGUGGGAAAUCUCAGGAGCCCGUGCAUCCUCAGCCCAGCUGCUUGGGUACAAGCAACGUUUCUAGCGUGAGCUCCAGGCAUUUGGUGCCUCCAUAUUCAGAUAUCUUAUUCUAACCAGACUCAGCUGCCUAAUGCCCGGGGAUUAAAAAUAGCCUCCCAGUGCUAGCUAUGGAAUUGAAGGAGAAAUACUCAGGGAGUAGAGAGGUCAGCUUUACUCCGGGCCCCCGAUUCUCAUACCCGUGGGUUUCAUUGCAUCUAAGCGUUUAAUCCCUUCAGGUUAUUUUAGUCUUGUGCUAUACCAUUGCCUAUUUUGUAUGGCUGUUUAAGAUAAAACGGUCAUCCCAGGUUUGUGGGCAUUGGUGUCAUUAGGAGUCUGGAUUUUGGCAGGAGAAAGCCAUUAUUUUGCUUGGUGGUUCCCGGAAACAAAUUGUGUCUAGUUAUCUUUCCAUGCAGACGUCAAUGGUAUUUGCUAUCGAUGCAUACAUUUAUUGGUUUUUUUCUUUCCCAUUUGGCAGCGAAUACUUCACAGAAAAGAAUCAUGUCCUCUACUUUCAGUGUAACUGUCCACAAAGCUUAAUAAGUGGUCUUACACGACUUGCUGUGUUU